AUUUUGGGGAACAAAGUGGUGGGUAGUGAUGACAAAUUGAACAAAGAAAAAGAAAAAAAGCAUCAAUUAAAAGGUAAAGAGAAAAGAGGAGAAGGAGAAACCAGUUUGAAAAAAAAGAAAGAAGAAUGGAGCAUAAUGGAUGAAGAAGUGCCAUAAAAACUGGAUACCAACAGCAAGGCAUUUUUUAAAAAAAAUUUCCUGCCAGAUGUAGCCAUCUACAAUCUAACUAAGGUUUCAGCGGCAGGAAAGAACAGAGA